rnacentral:tRNA from 1 species
GACUCUGUAGCUCAGGGGUUAGAGCAGUCGAUUGCAGCGAGGCUUACGUAAUCACCAUUACGUCAGCAUUCUAUCGACAGGUCGUGUGUUCAAAUCACGCCAGGGUCU